rnacentral:tRNA from 1 species
UACCCCGUGGUGUAAUGGUAACACGAUUGAUUCUGGUUCAAUUGUUCUUGGUUCGAGUCCAGGCGGGGUAGCCA